rnacentral:rRNA from 1 species
UACAGAGGGGGCAAGCGUUGUUCGGAAUUACUGGGCGUAAAGGGCGCGUAGGCGGCCUGCUAAGUCGAACGUGAAAUCCCCGGGCUCAACCCGGGAACUGCGUCCGAUACUGGCAGGCUUGAAUCCGGGAGAGGGAUGCGGAAUUCCAGGUGUAGCGGUGAAAUGCGUAGAUAUCUGGAGGAAUACCGGUGGCGAAGGCGGCCAACUGGACGAAUACUGACGCUGAGACACGAAAGCGUGGGGAGCAAAC